CAUUUAUUUGACGUUUACCUACAGAAGAAGCACCGGCUAACUCCGUGCCAGCAGCCGCGGUAAUACGGAGGGUGCGAGCGUUAAUCGGAAUUACUGGGCGUAAAGCGCAUGCAGGCGGCCUGUUAAGUCAGAUGUGAAAGCCCGGGGCUUAACCUCGGAAUUGCAUUUGAAACUGGCAGGCUAGAGUCUUGUAGAGGGGGGUAGGAAUUUCAGGUGUAGCGGUGAAAUGCGUAGAGAUCUGAAGGAAUACCAGUGGCGAAGGCGGCCCCCUCGGACAAAGACUGACGCUCAGAUGCGAAAGCGUGGGGAGCAAACAGGAUUAGAUACCCUGGUAG
rnacentral:rRNA from 1 species